GGCUGGUUCGAGUGCAGUGGUAUUUACAACUAAUUGAUGACAACCAGUUACAGAUUUCUUUGUUCCUUCUUCAUUCCCGCUACUUCACUUGACUAGCCUUAA
ensembl:misc_RNA Y_RNA Y RNA